AAAAGACUCACUUUGCCAAAUUAAAAAAUGGACUCAUUUAAGAGAUAAAAAAUUUGUCCAAAUAGUUAAGUGUAUAUAAUAGACUUUAAGAUUUUAGCCAGAGAGACAAUAAAAAAUAUAAGAUAUGUCAGUAAACAAAUGCUUAACAAACAAACAGGACAAAGAGACCUAGAGAGUUUAACGAAAAGUUGAAGUGAACUUCACUGAGAUAAAACCAGAAAAAUAUAAUCACAAGUAUCUCCUAGUGCUUGUAGAUACUUUUUCAGGAAUAGAUAGAAGCUUUCCUCACCAAACGAGAGACGGCCUCUACAAUCAUCAAGAAGAUACUGAAAGAAAUCUUCCCCAGGUCUGGAAUGCCCAAGGUAAUCUGGUCAGACAACGGUCCUACUUUCGUUGCCAAGGUAAGCCAGGGUGUGGCCAAAUAUUUAGAGGUCGAUUAGAAAUUACAUUGUAUUUACAGACCUCAAAGCUUAAGACAGGUAGAAUAAAUAAAUAGAACUCUAAAAGAGACCCUGACCAAAUUGACCAUGGAGACUGGCACAGACUGGGUGACACUCCUUCCCUCUUGCUCUCUUCAGAGCAAGAAAUACCCCUUCCAGACUCAGCUUUACCCCCUUUGAGAUCUUAUAUGGGGCCUCAGCUCCCCUGACUGUAUUAGAUGAUGUUACUGAACCAACAUGUCAUAGUAAUAAUGAUUUGUGUGCCAGGCUAAAAGACCUACAGGUGAUACAGAAAGAAAUCUGCUCACAGCUGACAGCAGCCUAUGCCCCGGAGACCCCUGAGACAUCCCAUCAGUUCCAGGUCGGAAACAGCUACACUGAGCCCAGACACUCGAGCCUCGCUGGAAAGGACCGUACCUGGUGCUGCUGACCACCCUGACAGCCGUCAAUUCUCAGCCCUCACCAGCCGUGUACUAGCUGUUAGGGCUGAGAGCUGGGACCUAGAGGGAAAUUCAGUCAUGUUUGUCCUGGGUUCCAUCGAGAUAGGUGUGGGGAUAGGCUUGAUUUCUAUUACAAAUGAUGUAACAUUACAUAUGUUAAUACUCCUAACACUUCUUGGGACUGUGCCUCAGGGAUCACUACCUAUAUAAGUUUAGAAGUUCUGAAAGACAGUCAUGACCUUGGUGUAUAGGUUUAGAUAGUGUCCAGAUAGAAUCCUGAUGCCAAAGACUUUUUAGCUGACCUCCAAGAAUACCUAACCUCCCUCUCAGAGGUAGUCCUUCAAAAUAAGAAAAGAUUAGACCUGAUAUUCCUUAAAGAAGGAGUCUGUGUACUAUACUGAAAGAAAAAUGUUGCUUCUAUACAGACCAUUCAGGAGUAAUUAAAGACUCCAUAAAUAAACUUAGAGAAAGGUUAGACAAAAGACAGACAGAAAAACACAUCAGAGAUGGUUCGAGAGCUAGUUUAGUAGAUCUCCCUAGAUGACUACCCUACUCUCUGCUACAGCUGGGCCAUUAUUAAUAAUUUUCUUGGUUUUAGUUUUUGGCUCCUGCGUGACAAACAAGUUAAUUGCUUUUGUUAAAAAUCGAGUGGGUGCUGUGCGGUUGAUGUCCUGAGACAACAGUACCAGUCAGUUAAGACAACUGGUGAGACCAAAUACGAGACUUGAUAUCAAAAUUCUAAGAUUAGAAUUAUUUAGUAGGAGAAGACGGGAAAAAAUUAAAAAAAUAAACCCCAAAAGGCCACAGACCCAGGGCUAAGCCCUGCAGCCAAGACUAGCAGGCCAUAAAGAUAAAGGAACACAGGAAACACUGU
rnacentral:lncRNA from 1 species